rnacentral:lncRNA from 12 species
CAAAUACAGCUUCUCUUCCUUGGUUUCCUUAUAACCAUAAUGAGGGUGUAACUUCAAGGUGUGGCUUUUUAAUUGGGGUAAGUGGAGGUUCUGCUUAUGAGUUAGUUCCUAUUUACCUUUCAGCAUGAUGCGACGUGCCUUUUUGAGUCUUGCAGUGAAAAACAAAUGAUGGUUUCUUUCAGCCUGGGCCUAUAUGAAGAAAAGGUACGAGGGACCAUACGAGGGACCACAUUGUUUUUUAGCAGUUGGAGUGACUUUUGAGAAGCCAGUGAAAACAGAAUAAUUUGAGACCAUCAGUCGACCAAAACACUUUCACUUAGGACUAAUACAUUUGUGAAGUUUAUUUGUGUUUCCCACAUAGAGUUGUUCAUUUCUGGAAAAAUUAACACAUUCAUAAAAGUUGUGAGCUGUAAAGACUUGAAUGACCAGAAUGUUAAGUAUUAUUUGAGGGACAUUCUACUACAAAAACACCAAGUGAGUCAUCAUCAGAAGGCCAAGAUUCUAAGAUGAAGCUCUGUCAUUAUUUAACUACAUAAUCUUGGGUAAAUCAGUAGACUGGAGUUCCCUUCACAUCAAUUAUCUCAUCUCUAAGGUAAGUAUAAUCACUUUCCUGCUUACUUUGGAGUUGUAAUAAUCAAAUGUUCACUUUGAAAAUGUUAAGGGUUUAUAUACAACAAGGCAUUAUUAAUAUUCUACAUUAGGAUAUUGGAUAGGAUUGACUGGAAAUAUUUCUCAGUCCGAAGUAGCCACUAGUUUUUGUCUACAUAAGAAAAUGCUUCCCAUUCCCAGAAAGAUACAAAUAUCUACAUUUGGAACCUAAAAGAGACAUGAAAUUAUUUGUUUACAAUAUGGUAGCGUAUAUCUAUAUAUAUGUACUUAGGAAUUAUUUUUAGCAAAUGAGAAAGAAUUGUAACUAAAUGCAAAAGAAAAGUAAAUCAAGAUAUUUACCAAAAUAAAAGAGAAAGAUUAUAUGCUACA